AACGAACGCUGGCGGCAUGCCUAACACAUGCAAGUCGAACGGUCUUAUGGGGCUUGCUCCAUAAGAUAGUGGCAGACGGGUGAGUAACACGUUGGAACGUACACUAAGGUUCGGAAUCACAGUUGGAAACGACUGAUAAUACCGGAUAUCUCCGAGAAGCGCAAGGUUUACCGCCUUGGGAGCGGCCCGCGUCUGAUUAGGUAGUUGGUGAGGUAAAGGCUCACCAAGCCGAUGAUCAGUAGCUGGUUUGAGAGAAUGAUCAGCCACACUGGGACUGAGACACGGCCCAGACUCCUACGGGAGGCAGCAGUGGGGAAUAUUGGACAAUGGGGGAAACCCUGAUCCAGCAAUGCCGCGUGAGUGAAGAAGGCCUUCGGGUUGUAAAGCUCUUUUGUCCGUGACGAUAAUGACGGUAGCGGACGAAUAAGCACCGGCUAACUUCGUGCCAGCAGCCGCGGUAA
rnacentral:rRNA from 1 species